rnacentral:lncRNA from 1 species
AGAAAGGAAUAAUGCCGUGUAAAUAAUUUAAAAACAAUAAAUCAUUUAGAGUGGCUUUAAACCAAAACCUAAUGCAGUAGCUGGCUGAGUGCUUGCUACACUUGACAGGUAGCUGGCAUACAGAAUUCAUCUACGUCUAAGAAGUAUUUACUUUUAAAACCCACAAAUCCAAAACAGGCAGACCAAAGAAAAAUGAGACCUAAAGCCUCCUGUAUCUUGAGUAGUCCCUUUUACCUUUUGGAGGUGAAAUGAGAAGUAGAGAAAUUCGGCUAGGAUAGUUCUACUUCAAACACAGAUUUGCUGAGUUAUGCUAGGUAAAUGACUAAUUAAGGCUGAUUCUCCAGCAGAGCUGGCAGAGUGUUGGAGGAGCACAGCAACAAGCCUGGGGCGGUACCCCCACCUCUCCCCCCACCCCCACCAGCUGGAGGAGAGAACAGGGCUGACGGGUAACCAGCUCCAGGAGGGUGGUGCUCCAUUCUCUCUGCUCAUUCCUAUUCACCCAAGACAAAGCAGAUAAUGAAAAGCAAAAUCCAUCGAAAAAGCUUCUGCUUAAGAAAAAAAAGAUAGAGCCCCCUUUAAAAGAGACAACAUUUUUGUGGAGAGAAACUUGAUGACCAGACUCUAUGCAACAUGCCCUGGAUUCUGGAGACCACAGCCUGAGGGCCCUCCACCUGCAACUGAGACUUCAUGAGAAGGAAAAGAAAUCCAGCAGCGGUUUCCUAGCCACAGUGAGUACAGCUAAAGAUUGGUGAAGUAACUGUCCAGGAGCACCUACCACAAGGUAAACUCCAUUCAAGCAAUUUUAGAGUAGUCUGAUUCCAAAAGGGUUUUCCUAAUUGUUGCUAGUUUUCUGUUUCCUGUUUAUUCCAGUUGAUGGCAUGUAAGUGAGUCCUUGACUGAAACUGUCAAUGUUAGGUCUUAAGAGGUAAUUUAAUCUUCUAUCUAGUCACCCAUAUCUUGUUUCAAGGUGCUGUGUGCUUGUAUGUCUGAAUGAUGGCCCUUAAACUGCAUCUCUGCACUUUUGUGUCUGUAUAGUAAUGUGGUAAGAGCAAGUUUGUGUGUGUGUGUGGGGGGGGUAUCUGUUUUAUGAUAUAUCAACCUAUGGUCUAUUCAAGUCAAGUCCUUGAGAAGUUUGGAGAAAUGGGGAAGUGAAGAAGCAGAUGAAAAAAAAAAAAGUAAUAAGAAAGAAGUAGGAAGUUAAAUUUCA